AGUGGCGGACGGGUGAGUAACGCGUGAGAAUCUGCCUUGGGGUCGGGGACAACCACUGGAAACGGUGGCUAAUACCGGAUAAGCCGAUUGGUGAAAGAUUUAUUGCCCGAAGAGGAGCUCGCGUCUGAUUAGCUAGUUGGUGAGGUAAGAGCUCACCAAGGCAGCGAUCAGUAGCUGGUCUGAGAGGACGAUCAGCCACACUGGGACUGAGACACGGCCCAGACUCCUACGGGAGGCAGCAGUGGGUAAUUUUCCGCAAUGGGCGAAAGCCUGACGGAGCAAGACCGCGUGAGGGAGGAAGGCUCUUGGGUUGUAAACCUCUUUUCUCAGGGAAGAAGCUCUGACGGUACCUGAGGAAUCAGCCUCGGCUAACUCCGUGCCAGCAGCCGCGGUAAUACGGAGGAGGCAAGCGUUAUCCGGAAUUAUUGGGCGUAAAGCGUCCGCAGGUGGCGAUUCAAGUCUGCUGUCAAAGCACGGGGCUUAACUCCGUAAAGGCAGUGGAAACUGAAUAGCUAGAGUGCCGUAGGGGUAGAGGGAAUUCCCGGUGUAGCGGUGAAAUGCGUAGAGAUCGGGAAGAACAUCGGUGGCGAAAGCGCUCUACUGGACGGCAACUGACACUCAGGGACGAAAGCUAGGGGAGCGAAUGGGAUUAGAUACCCC
rnacentral:rRNA from 1 species